rnacentral:rRNA from 1 species
ACUCCUACGGGAGGCAGCAGUGGGGAAUAUUGCACAAUGGGGGAAACCCUGAUGCAGCCAUGCCGCGUGUGUGAAGAAGGCCUUCGGGUUGUAAAGCACUUUCAGUAGGGAGGAAGGUAGUGUAGUUAACACCUGCACUAUUUGACGUUACCUACAGAAGAAGCACCGGCUAACUCCGUGCCAGCAGCCGCGGUAAUACGGAGGGUGCGAGCGUUAAUCGGAAUUACUGGGCGUAAAGCGCAUGCAGGCGGCCUGUUAAGUCAGAUGUGAAAGCCCGGGGCUUAACCUCGGAAUUGCAUUUGAAACUGGCAGGCUAGAGUCUUGUAGAGGGGGGUAGAAUUUCAGGUGUAGCGGUGAAAUGCGUAGAGAUCUGAAGGAAUACCAGUGGCGAAGGCGGCCCCCUGGACAAAGACUGACGCUCAGAUGCGAAAGCGU